GGAUAGAUGGUGUAUUAAUCUAUAUGGAUGGUUUUUUGCUGACAGACAAAUGUAUUUUCAGAAGAUUAAGUCACUUAUCGCUGAGGAAUCUAACAAGUAAGAUACGACCAGAUUCAGAUAUUUACACCGACUAUUAGAUAUGAACAUCUGUCGUCUACAGAUAAAAGGAUUGUCGAUCAUUGCAUCUCGAAUGGACAUGGAUUGUCUCUGGCGGAUAGACCGAGAAGAGAUCGACGACUAUGGAUUUGUACAGAUGAGCUGCUGAACUAUUGCAAGACUUAGUGGAGGAAUUUGGUGUAAUAUAUCAUAAAUCAUGUGUUCUUUCUCCUAUUCUAUCUCUUUGGACAAAUAUUCCAAUGAUAGAUGCUGAGAAAGAAUAUAUGGUACCCUCAGCAGUCGUAAUACGCCAAUAUUGCAACCUCUGUUCUGAAUUUCGCGUAAAGAGUCCAUUUUGUAAAUUACAUUCCUAUAAAAAAUGGAUAUAUGAAACGGCUCCUCUGAAGGAAAAGUUUACGCUCACUCUCCCGGAAAAGAAUACUAUUUACACAGGAAUGAGAAACGUCGCUUUUCAGAAUUUAGAGAAUGCCGGAGACGACGAUAUUAAACAGACCGACGUAAAUUUCGUCCGUGCUCAUCACUGGU
rnacentral:lncRNA from 1 species